ACCAGGCUGAGAAACAGUGGAAACAGCAGUUGGGGUCUGUGGUCCAAAUCCGGCCUGAGGGAGGCUGGAACACUGCCAAGGUCAGCACCCUGCUCUAUGGACAGCGGACUCUGAUCCAGGCUCUGCAAGAGAUGAGGGAAGCAGCUGCCCAGAUGGCUUCAGGAGCACACGUCUUCUACCUGCCUGUGGGCACUAAACAUCACUUUUUUGAGCUGGACCAGACCCUCGGCCUCCUGCAGAAGGACCUCCGGGAUCUGGUGAAAAUGACAGCCAAGCCUCCCCGCCCAUCUGGCUGGCUCCCAGGAUCCUCCACAUGUCUGCGGACCAGCAUCUUCCUGUUCUUCCUCCUAAUCCAGACUGUAGGCUUCUUCUGCUACAUGAACUUCAGCAGGCAGGAGCUGGACAAGAGGCUUCAGGAGUACCUGUUCACAGAAAGCAUUUCUCUACAGCCUGCAUUGCCCAUCCCUAGGACAAUAGGGGUUCUGAGGAGACAGCCUGUCUCCCCCAGCAUGCAAGCCUGACCCAGCUCAAAGCCAUGAGGAAAAAAAAAUGGGGGAUAGAGGAUUUAGCCUGUGCCUAUAUUUUAGCUUUUGGCAUGCCCAUCAUAUUAAAGGUGAUUUUCCUCUUGU
rnacentral:lncRNA from 1 species